rnacentral:tRNA from 1 species
UCCCCAGUGGUCUAGUGGUUAAGGAUUCAGUGUUGUCACUGCUGUGGCUCAAGUUCGAUUCCUGGCCAGGGAA